rnacentral:rRNA from 1 species
CAGUCGCCGCGGUAAUACAGAGGGUGCGAGCGUUAAUCGGAUUUACUGGGCGUAAAGCGUGCGUAGGCGGCUUCUUAAGUCGGAUGUGAAAUCCCUGAGAUUAACUUAGGAAUUGCAUUCGAUACUGGGAAGCUAGAGUAUGGGAGAGGAUGGUAGAAUUCCAGGUGUAGCGGUGAAAUGCGUAGAGAUCUGGAGGAAUACCGAUGGCGAAGGCAGCCAUCUGGCCUAAUACUGACGCUGAGGUACGAAAGCAUGGGGAGCAAACAGGAUUAGAUACCCCUGUAGUCCCUGUCUCUUAUAC